rnacentral:rRNA from 1 species
UACGUAGGGGGCAAGCGUUGUCCGGAUUUAUUGGGCGUAAAGAGCGUGUAGGCGGCCAGAAAAGUCCGCUGUGAAAACUCGAGGCUCAACUUCGAGCUGUCGGUGGAAACUUUCUGGCUAGAGUCCGGAAGAGGAGAAUGGAAUUCCUGGUGUAGCGGUGAAAUGCGCAGAUAUCAGGAAGAACACCCGUGGCGAAGGCGGUUCUCUGGGACGGUACUGACGCUGAGGUGCGAAAGCGUGGGGAGCAAACAGG